UACGUAGGGGGCAAGCGUUGUCCGGAAUGACUGGGCGUAAAGGGCGCGUAGGCGGCUUGAUAAGUCUGGAGUGAAAGUCCUGCUUUCAAGGUGGGAAUUGCUUUGGAUACUGUCGAGCUUGAGUGCGGAAGAGGUGAGUGGAAUUCCCAGUGUAGCGGUGAAAUGCGUAGAGAUUGGGAAGAACACCAGUGGCGAAGGCGACUCACUGGGCCGUAACUGACGCUGAUGCGCGAAAGCGUGGGGAGCGAACAGG
rnacentral:rRNA from 1 species